rnacentral:rRNA from 1 species
UCCAGACUCCUACGGGAGGCAGCAGUGAGGAAUAUUGGUCAAUGGUCGGGAGACUGAACCAGUCAAGCCGCGUGAGGGAUGAAGGUACAGAGUAUCGUAAACCUCUUUUGUCAGGGAACAAAGGCGGGGACGUGUCCCCGGAUGAGUGUACCUGAAGAAAAAGCAUCGGCUAACUCCGUGCCAGCAGCCGCGGUAAUACGGAGGAUGCGAGCGUUAUCCGGAUUUAUUGGGUUUAAAGGGUGCGUAGGCGGGCUCUUAAGUCAGCGGUAAAAAUUCGGGGCUCAACCCCGUCCGGCCGUUGAAACUGGGGGCCUUGAGUGGGCGAGAAGAAGGCGGAAUGCGUGGUGUAGCGGUGAAAUGCAUAGAUAUCACGCAGAACUCCGAUUGCGAAGGCAGCAUACCGGCGCGCAACUGACGCUCAUGCACGAAAGCGUGGGUAUCGAACAGGAUUAGAUACCCCGGUA